GACACCAUAGCCUAACUGGUCAAGGCGACGUAGCUGCAUGGCGUAACUGACUCUCAAUAUGUGACUCGUUGAUGCAGGUUCGAGUCCUGCUGGUGUCU